UAUUCUCAAUUUCUAUUAUAUGUAUUCAUCCACCAAAAUUUAAAGGUCUUCAAUCAUUAUGAUUCUUAUAUUACAUUCCUACAUCAAACUAAUUUCGUUACACCACACUUUUCAUGACCGUAUCCAAUUUUUUAAUCUCCCUUUCUCAGUUUGCUUUACAAUUUAGAUGUACACACAUUCCUAAAAUUUCAAAUUUUAAAUUUUGAAUACAAAAUUAAAACUAAAAAAAGGAUUUCUCUCCCUUCUUUGUUUCCAAUUUUAUCUCUUUCUCCUCUUUUUCGGUUCUUCUACUUCUUCAUCAUCAGUUUCUCUUCUUUUUUUUCUCCUCCUUUUAAUGAUUCUAUUUUUGUAUAAUCUUCUUCUUCUUCUUCAAUAGUUUUUAUUCAUCAUCUUCUUCUUCUAAUUCUUACUGUUCCUAAUUUAAGUCAGAAGUGGAGAUUAUAGAGUUAGUGUACGCACUAAGAUAGAGAAUGUCACUGUACUUGAUGGAUCCAACCUUUCGGGGAGUCAUCGCGGUGGAGGCAACGCUAUCGCUGGUGGUAGGGUUGCGGCAGUGGAUGAGAUGGCGACUGCUACGGUGGUGGACCAUGCUAUGGCGGUGUUGGACCAUGCUACGUCGGUGGUGGUCGCAGUGGGUGCGCAGAUCGCUGGAAGGUACUGAGUCACCGCCACAAAGAGCACAUGCAAUGAGACUAUGAAAGCAAAGAGCACAACAAUGAUAUAAUAAUUUUAUAUUUGUCUUUAUCUUUCUGUCCGUAAAGACUAGAUUUGCAACCAGACAAGGAUUCAUCUUUAUUUUCAAGAUGUUCCUAAUGUCCGUCCUUUUAAUUUUGACUAUAUCUAUAUGUAAUUUGAUAUGAAAUUUGAAUUUUAAAUAUGCACAACCUUAUCAAGCAUUCAAACCAUCUCUCAAAUAAUCAAAUUUCAAUUUUCUUCUUACCAUAACUCUCUUUCUUUCUCUAUCUUCUCUCAUGUCUUUCUUCUCCCAGAUCUAUAUAUCUCUCUGCAUCAUUUCUUUUCUUUUAUUUUUGUUAUCUCUGUGUUCUCUUUGUCAAACGGAGAUUUCUUGAUGGUGACAUGCAUUAUGGUAUUGUGUUUGUUGCGGGGAAGCAGAGGGAAGAAGUAGAGACAUGACAGGGAGGAGCGAGAGAUGCAUACUGGCAUCGACAACAAUGGGCAUGCAGUUUGGUGAGGCUGAGAUGAUUUGGAUGGCAAUAGACAGAACGGAAGAGAAGUCAUAGUUGUAGCACCAGAAGCGGCCAUCAACGGUCUUGGUGCGAUAAUGUUGUAUUCUAUGCUUAUAGGCGUCUUUGCUUGGUGUGGAGCUUUUGAUGCAGUAAAUCCAUAACCUCAUUGUUGUUGCCGGGAUUCUAUUUGCAAUUCCCCAAAAGAGUACGUGAAGGCAAAAUCAAAUUGGCUACUGGAAAUUCGUGGGCAACCCCGGCAAGAAGGUUUAGCUUUCGGAGUCCAAGAUCCAGCAGCUCUGCUUGAUUUCCAGAGACAUUUUCUUGCAACAGCCAGAUUUAUGGGAUCUCCAAUCUUUCAUUUAGAUUUGUGGUACUCUAACUUCUUGCAAUCCCUGACACUAUGGCUUUCUUUCUUCAUAACAAGUGAAUAUGCACACUUUUGUGCACCCCUUACUCUACUGCUUUCUUUCUUGCAAUCCCUUUUGUUCGGUCUUCUUCCUUUCUUUUUGAAGUCAGCAUUUGAUUGAUUUGUUAUUGCGUUUAUUUUUUAUUUUAAUUUUUUCUAAUAGUGGUUUUAUAUUCUUUUAAUUUAAGAGUGACAUUACUAUUAUAUUUUUUAAUAUGUUUUUUAACCAUAUUUUAAAAUCUUGAUUUUCAUUUCAUAUCACCUCUCUAUAAUCUUAUUUUUCCAAUACAUUAUUGACUAAGAUUUGGUAACUUCUACUGUUUAUGAUACACGGUUUGGUAUCUCCUUUUUGAGUUUUGAUAAUGAAAUUUGGUAAAUAUUUUGAUUUUAACUGUUUAUGUGAUCUUUUCAUAUCUUUAUCAUGAUCAUAACCUCAGAAAAAAGAAAAUAAUAUCACCACAGAAGCAAGGAGGUGAAGAAACCAUGAUGGCAGUCCUGAAUGUAAUAAUUGAAAGAGAAGGGAGGAAUUGGAGAAAGAAAGUGGUGGUUCAGGUUCACAUUCUUCCUUGCAAAGCCUUCUCUGGCAUGGUGGUUCUGCUGAUGGUGCUUGGUUCAGUUGUGCCUCAAAUAAGGUAUGAUAGGUUCCAUUAACACUGCCAUACACAUUCUCACUUUAGUUUAUUUCUUAUUUUGUAGUUAUUAGUUCAGUGCCUUCAUUGCCAUACUCUAUUGUGGCAUAUCUUUUGGGGUGCAUUAAAACAUGCGAAUGGAAUUGAAGGCAGAUCAAUAAUUGUUGUUAGAGUAAUAGCAUGCUUUCAACCCUUGCAUAAUUGUCAGGUAAGUACUAUAUGACUUAUAUAGACAUGAUUUUCAAGCUUGAUGUGAGAUAAAAAAAAAACACUUAUGUCUAUUAUGUGUUAUCCUCUGUUAUUAAUUAUCAGAUUGUUUUAUGAACUCAUGGGGGAUGAAUGCUAUCUUCAAGUUUUUCGUCAUUUGCUAAAGCCUGUCAUGAAGAUACAUAAAAUUUUUCUCAUCUAGCUGAAGCUUGAAGUUUGUAGUUUUCUUUUAUUAUUAUUUGUCUAUAAAAAAAUCAAGUUAUUAAAAAUUCCAUAUCAAAGCAUUGUAUCGCCCUAGCACCUAUUGAUAAAUAUUUUUAUGUUAUGCAUUUUCACUGAAAAGGGUCUAUUUGUCAUCUUCAUCAUUGAUUGAUUGACUAUUGUUCUUUAGGUUAUUUUUUCAUUGAAUGGUUAAGGCUCAUACGAGCUAUAUGUUAUAAGGAUUUGUAUUUUAUUUUUAUCCUUUUUGAAAUUAUAUGGUUUGCUUUGUGUAUUAUGCUAUGUUUGAAAGACAUUCCAGCAGAAGAGGGUAUUAGGUUAAAGUUUUUAUGAUAAAAAAAAGUGUGAAAAAUAACAAAUAUUGAUAAUCAGGUUGAAUACUACCGUUACUCUCCAUUUCAAAGCUUUGGUUAGACAUAGUGAAUAAGAUUUGGAAUUACUUUUGCUCAUGUUUUGAUCUGUGAGAGUAUGCAUUAGAGUAUAUAUAUGUUUGUUUUCUUUUCAAGUUAUUUUUUUCAUUUGUGAUUGAACUUAUGUAACAUAUAAUGAUUAAUUCAAAUAAUCAACAUAUAUUGUUGCAUGGAGAGGUUUCUUCAUUUUAUGGUAUUAUGAAUUCAAAUAUCUUAGUGAUUAAAUGAUAGAUUAAAUAACAUUAAUUACGUCUUUGU